rnacentral:rRNA from 1 species
UACGGAGGAUCCAAGCGUUAUCCGGAUUUAUUGGGUUUAAAGGGUGCGUAGGCGGCAGAUUAAGUUAGAGGUGAAAUCCCGCGGCUCAACCGCGGAACUGCAUUUGAAACUGUCAGUCUUGAGUACCGGAGAGGUCAUCGGAAUUCCUUGUGUAGCGGUGAAAUGCGUAGAUAUAAGGAAGAACACCAGUGGCGAAGGCGGAUGACUGGACGGCAACUGACGGUGAGGCGCGAAAGCGUGGGGAGCAAACAGG